UAUUCUUCCUUGGUAAAGUCACUUGACUGCUGACAGUCUGUUUCCUGGACUAUAAAAUGAAGAUGCUAUGAAUACUGCUGAAGUGACUAACUGAUGACGUAUCAAUGUCAAACAUAAGUAUCGGUGAAAGAACUAUUUUGAAAUAAACAUCCUGGUUAAUCACUAAGGUCUAAGGAGGAAAACUGAAGACGAAGUUCAACAGACCCGUCACUAGUGGAGCCUGGCUUUCUCCUUGGAGAAAGCAGUAACCAGACUCUACCUAUUACAAUGAGAAGCUGCACUCAGGAUAAUUAUGGCUCUGUAAACCAUCAGCAUUCAGCAGGCAGUAAUUGAAAUUUCACAGGCUCAUUAGCAGGUGGGAGAGGUACUGUGGCUGAGAGCUGCCAGCUGAGUAGACUGUACAGUAUUGCAAUUUGUCAUACGGCACUGUACUGCUACUAUGUUAAAAGGAAAGCAGGAAAAUAAAAGGUACUUUUUCUUAUACAAAAUGAAACACAGAA
rnacentral:antisense_RNA from 1 species